rnacentral:tRNA from 1 species
ACCUGGCUGGCUCAGUCGGUAGAGCAUGUGACUCUUGAUCAUGGGAUUGUAAGUUUGAGUCCCACACUGGGUG